rnacentral:rRNA from 1 species
GACGAACGCUGGCGGCGUGCUUAACACAUGCAAGUCGAACGGAAAGGCCUGCUUUCCCUUGUGGAUUGCGGGUACUCGAGUGGCGAACGGGUGAGUAACACGUGAGUGAUCUGCCCCCAACUUGGGUAUAAGCCUGGGAAACUGGGUCUAAUUCCCGAUAGGACUGCAGGGUGGUGCCUGUGGUGGAAAACGAUUUUCUAGUGGUUGGGGAUGAGCUCGCGGCCUAUCAGCUUGUUGGUGGGGUAAUGGCCUACCAAGGCGGCGACGGGUAGCCGGCCUGGGAGGGUGGACGGCCACAUUGGGACUGGGAUACGGCCCAGACGCCUGCGGGAGGCAGCAGUGGGGAAUAUUGCACAAUGGGCGGAAGCCUGAUGCAGCGACGCCGAGUGGGGGAUGACGGCCUUCGGGUUGUAAACUCCUUUCGACCGCGAGGAAGCCACCUGGUUGGAAGGGUGGUGACGGUAGUGGUAGAAGAAGCACCGGCUAACUACGUG